UACGGAGGGAGCUAGCGUUGUUCGGAAUUACUGGGCGUAAAGCGUGCGUAGACGGUAGCGUAAGUCGGGUGUGAAAGCCCCGGGCUCAACCUGGGAAUUGCAUUCGAGACUGCUCUGCUAGGGUGCGGAAGAGGGGAGCGGAAUUUCCGGUGUAGCGGUGAAAUGCGUAGAUAUCGGAAGGAACACCAGUGGCGAAAGCGGCUCCCUGGUCCAGCACCGACGUUCAGGCACGAAAGCGUGGGGAGCAAACAGG
rnacentral:rRNA from 1 species